rnacentral:rRNA from 1 species
AUUGAACGCUGGCGGCAGGCCUAACACAUGCAAGUCGAGCGGGGUUUUCGGACCUAGCGGCGGACGGGUGAGUAAUGCGUAGGAAGCUACCCGAUAGAGGGGGAUACCAGUUGGAAACGACUGUUUAUACCGCAUAAUGUCUACGGACCAAAGUGUGGGACCUUCGGGCCACAUGCUAUCGGAUGCGCCUACGUGGGAUUAGCUAGUUGGUGAGGUAAUGGCUCACCAAGGCGACGAUCCCUAGCUGGUUUGAGAGGAUGAUCAGCCACACUGGAACGGAGACACGGGCCAGACUCCUACGGGAGGCAGCAGUGGGGAAUAUUGGACAAUGGGCGCAAGCCUGAUCCAGCCAUGCCGCGUGUGUGAAGAAGGCCUUCGGGUUGUAAAGCACUUUCAGUAGGGAGGAAGCGUUGUGUGUUAAUAGUACACAGCGUUGACGUUACCUACAGAAGAAGCACCGGCUAACUCUGUGCCAGCAGCAGCCGCAGUAA